rnacentral:rRNA from 1 species
UACGAGAGGUCCAAGCGUUAGUCGGAAUCACUGGGCUUAAAGGGUGCGUAGGCGGGUCUGUAAGUGUCUUGUGAAAUCCCCGGGCUCAACCCGGGAAUUGCAGGGGAUACUGCGGAUCUUGAGGAAUCUAGAGGCCGGCAGAACGAUAGGUGGAGCGGUGGAAUGCGUAGAUAUCUAUCGGAAUGCCGAAGGUGAAGACAGCCGGCUGGGGAUUUCCUGACGCUGAGGCACGAAAGCGUGGGGAUCAAACAGG